rnacentral:rRNA from 1 species
UUCGCAAUGCCCGAAAGGGUGACGAAGCGACGCCGCGUGGGUGAGGAAGGCCUUCGGGUUGUAAAGCCCUGUCAGGAGUUAUGAAAUGUAAGUGCGCUAAUAUCGUGCUUAUUUGACAAAGGCUCCAAAGGAAGCCACGGCUAACUCUGUGCCAGCAGCCGCGGUAAUACAGAGGUGGCGAGCGUUGUUCGGAAUUAUUGGGCGUAAAGAGCACGUAGGUGGGUUUGCAAGUCAGAUGUGAAAGCCUUCUGUUCAACGGAAGAAUUGCAUCUGAAACUGCUAAUUUUGAGUAUAGGAGGGGAGAAUGGAACUUCUGGUGGAGCGGUGAAAUGCGUAGAUAUCAGAAGGAACGCCGGCGGCGAAAGCGAUUCUCUGGCCUAUUACUGACACUCAGUGUGCGAAAGCUAGGGGAGCAAACGGGAUUAAAUACCCCGGUAGUCCUAGCCGUAAGCGAUGGGCACUAAGUAGAGGGGUUUUA